CCUACGGGAGGCAGCAGUGAGGAAUAUUGGUCAAUGGACGAGAGUCUGAACCAGCCAAGUAGCGUGAAGGAUGACUGCCCUAUGGGUUGUAAACUGCUUUUAUAUGGGAAUAAAAUGUGCCACGUGUGGGAUUUUGUAUGUACCAUAUGAAUAAGGAUCGGCUAACUCCGUGCCAUCAGCCGCGGUAAUACGGAGGAACCGAGCGUUAUCCGGAGUUAUUGGGGUUAAAGGGGGCGUAGGGGGAUUGUUAAGUCAGUUGUGAAAGUUUGCGGCUCACCCGUAAAAUUGCAGUUGACACUGGCAGUCUUGAGUACAGUAGAGGUGGCCGGAAUUCGUGGUGUAGCGGUGAAAUGCUUAGAUAUCACGAAGCACUCCGAUUGCGAAGGCAGCUCACUGGACUGCAACUGACACUGAGGCUCGAAAGUGUGGGUAUCAAACAGGAUUAGAUACCCCUGUAGUC
rnacentral:rRNA from 1 species